AAUUCAAAGAAAAUCAAUCAAUAUAAAAUCAGCGUUACUUUAUUAAAUUGAAUGUAAUUCUUAUUUGAUGUGUUCACUAGAAUAUCGUGUUGAGAAAAUGCAAUACAUUUCAGUUUGUUGUCGCUGUGGUAGCUUAACUGACUAACAAAACACCAUUAUGUCAAGAGAAUUUCAAAACAGUAUUAUCUCUUCGUCACUAGAAAUAUCGACAGAGAAUAGAAAACAAAAGCUGUGUUAGGAGUAUUUUAUCAAAGUACCGAAAUAUAUUUGUUUUAAUUCCACUGUUCAUUGAUCUUACGUUACCAGCUGAAACUUACUUUACCCCCAUAACUCAGAUAAGGGAAAAUGUUGAUGGAGUUGAAUUUUUGGACAUCUAAAAAAUGAACGAUGAAAAUAUUACUUUAUAAACCUGAACAUUGCCUCUGGUGUCGUUUAUUUCUAAGUGGGUUCAUUUUUUCUACGCUUCACAAUACAAUACAGUGCAACAAGGUUGGUCCGAAGGAAAAGAACAACAAAAAAACACCUGACAUACACUGACAAAACGUGGUCGAAUAACUUUAGUUUAUCACAGCGUGGAUCAUACAGUUAAGGCAUUUACAUGACUAACUAUAAACGGCGGUAUAUAACAAAGAUGAUAUUAUGUUAUUUCAACUUCAAACAAUCAAUUAACAAAAUUAUUUUCAGUUCAUAUAUAAAUAAAGGAUUUUAAUGAUGGCUGAAAGAAUUCUUAAUCAACUUUUAAUAAGUUUGACCUAUACUAAUGUGUAAUAUGGGAUAAGACUUUUCAGUUCGUUUUGUGGUGGCGUCACUGGAGAGGUGUUGUCAUGGAUCGGAGGAGUGAUAAGGAAUAAUAAUGGGUUAUUGGUUAUGCUUAAAUGAACAUCACAUUUUUCUUCUCUCUAAUUUUAAUUUAAAGAAACUAUGUAAAUUUCAUGAUACAUAAAUGGAUACAUUAUUGAACUAUAUUAGAUAACUGUGAAAAAAUGUCCACGGAUAUCAAAUAUAUUUGCGCCCGAACCAAAUGAACAUAACAUAGCAUCACUGGAACAAAUGGAAUUAAAGUCAGAACUUAAACGUCAACUACUAGUACUCAGCUUAUUCACAUACUAAACAGCACAUUACAAUUAAUAUGUUUAUUUUUAUAUGAAUGUUUGUAUAAAUGUUUAUUAUUGUCAAAAUCAGAAAACUAUAAUUUGUGUCUUCUGUUAGAAAAUUGUAAACAAACCGAUUUAUAUAUAUGUAAU